GGAAUAUUGGACAAUGGGCGGAAGCCUGAUCCAGCGAUGCCGCGUGUGUGAAGAAGGCCUGAGGGUCGUAAAGCACUUUUGUUAGGGAGGAAGGAGUAUGUACUAAUACUACAUAUGACUGACGUUACCUAAAGAAUAAGCACCGGCUAACUCUGUGCCAGCAGCCGCGGUAAUACAGAGGGUGCAAGCGUUAAUCGGAAUUACUGGGCGUAAAGGGUGCGUAGGUGGAUACGUAAGUCAGAUGUGAAAUCCCCGGGCUUAACCUGGGAACUGCAUUUGAUACUGCGAAUCUAGAGUAUGGUAGAGGUAAGUGGAAUUUCCGGUGUAGCGGUGAAAUGCGUAGAUAUCGGAAGGAACAUCAGUGGCGAAGGCGACUUACUGGACUGAUACUGACACUGAGGCACGAAAGCGUGGGGAGCAAAC
rnacentral:rRNA from 1 species